CGUCCACUCACAUUGUGAGGAAAGAAAGGUCCCACUGUCCUUAGGACGGUCCUAGCAAUGCAGCAUCUGCCCUGGAUGUUUCUAUCAAAAAAAUUGGCUUGGACAAAACGGUGCACCCCUGCUCUACACAUUUCAAUAGGAGGGGCUUUCAAACGAAUACAUCAAAAAAGACAAUGCCAGAAUCUAUGAACUGCUUAGACAAAAGACUCUUCAAAAUUAGCCUUCCAUGAAAGCAAUUGUUCCAUCAUCAUCUUAAUAUGAGCCAAGAGGUAAGUAUAUCAUUCUUAUGUGAAGUUGC
rnacentral:lncRNA from 1 species